UACGUAGGGUGCAAGCGUUGUCCGGAAUUAUUGGGCGUAAAGAGCUCGUAGGUGGCGGGUCACGUCGGGUGUGAAAGCCCGGGGCUUAACCCCGGGUCUGCAUUCGAUACGGGUCUGCUGGGGUCCGGCAGGGGAGACUGGAAUUCCUGGUGUAGCGGUGAAAUGCGCAGAUAUCAGGAGGAACACCGGUGGCGAAGGCGGGUCUCUGGGCCGAAACUGACGCUGAGGAGCGAAAGCGUGGGGAGCAAACAGG
rnacentral:rRNA from 1 species